CAUUUAAAUGUUGGUCAGUUGAGGCCUAAAUUAACAUUUAAUUAGUAAACUCAUUACAAAGGCAGGAAGUCUCAGACUUUCCCUUCAUUCUCUUUCAGGCCUCUGAAGGAAAGAACCAGGCCCGUCUUUGGCUUUUGAUUCAGCAGAUGAGUUUGUUUUCUUUUUGUUCUCUCUCCUGGCUACCCUCCACCCCCUUCUACUUUCAGGACAAUUUCUUUCCCCGAAGCAGACAGAAUUGGAAGGAAAUAAUUGACUGGUAAUGAUUUAUAUCUUGCUCCAGAAUUUCACUGUAACAGGCAUCCUGUAUCAGAAUGCUCUCAGUAAGUACUAAGCAUCCUCUGUUGAUGGGAUGUGAAAUAGAGGUUUCUACAUAUGUUGGUGGUUGAACAAACAGCUUAUAUGACAGAUCAGCUUUCCAGACCCAUCCUUCAUUUGUGAAUCACGCUGUAUCAGACCCCAGAGAAGGAACUCAGGUCAUAUCAUCUUAAUUCUCCUUCCUGAAGCACUAAUUUGUCCCUUAUAGCUGUAAAUAGUCUUAUAUAGCCAGCUCAAAUGUAGAUGCAAGCAUGAAAUAAGACCAGAUAUAUCCCACACCUCACCUAGGUGCCUGCAUAGUCCAGAGCUUCCUGCAAGCAUCUGAGUUACUGUACAAGCACUGACUGGAGAUCCACAUACAUGCCAUAAAACUGUGUUCCCAGUUUUGCAUACGUAACCAGACCACAGUGUAACAGUUCAAUGAAAAAGGUAUGAAUGAACAGUAGAAGAAUGACCCAGCUUGCUGAUGGUAUCCCCAAGAGAAUUUGCCACUGUGCUUUAGAGGUUAAACCUCCUCUAAAACCAGCUUUCUUUCUAAAUUUUAUUUCUUAUUGCCAGAAAUAAAUAAACUCUGGUGCAAGGUUACUGGAUAAUAGGUUGAGCCUGUUGGUUUGUAAAACACAUGAUUCUCCAAAGCAGCAAAUGUCUGGCUUCAAAACAUGCACUUCAAGAAUAAGAAUAAAAUCUUACAAGAAUCAGUUCAGCUAUUUUUUUUUAACUUUUAAUUAAAAUCAGGAAUAGAAAUAGAACAGCCCAGAGUUCAUGACCUGUUCAGGAAUGCAAUUAGCCCAUAAAAAUCAUGAUUGGGAUUUGUUGCAAGGUAGAAACACAAUCCCUUAAAAAAAAAAAAAAAAAAAAAAAAAAAAAAAAAAAAAAAAAAAGCCCCUUUGCAAAGUACCAAAUGAUGGAGAAGGACAAAAUAAGGGAGAGAUGAGCUGUUUUUAUUUUAACCCAAUUUCCCUCCCUCCUCAACCAGAAAAAGCUGUAAAAGAACAGACACAUCACCUCCUGUAGUCAAGUUUCACAGCAAACAAGAAGUUCCGAGCAAAUCCAUGAUGACUUUUAUCUCUCUAAGUCUAAUCCCAUGAUAAACCUCUUGUUUCCUAUACUUGAUGUUCCACUAUUUCACUAGUUGUGAAUUGUGAUGGCUCACGACAAGGGCUCACAUUGUGGAUGGCUCACAAUGAACAAACAGAACCUGACAGUUUCCUUCCUUAAAGUAAACAGAGGUGGUACUUAGACACAGUUCAAAGAGUUUAGCAUUCCCAGAUUGGCUAUUAUUACUCUUUUGGUGGGCAAAGAGACCCAGUACUUCAUUCUAGUAAAAGCACCUUUUUUUAUUUUUCUCCUUUCCCAUUGUUUUUUACUGGCAGUUCAAUGACUACACAGUUACCAAGCAUGCUUUUCUUUUACAGUCUUCCACUUUUCCAUGCAAGGUAGUCUACACAUUUACAUCACUGCUUGUUUACUUCUUUCUUCUUUUCUGAGAAAAAGUCAUGCCUUUUGUAUUUCUCAUAGAGUUUUAACAGUGGUCCCUCUGUCCUCAGAGCUGUGUGGUACUAGAUUGUUACCAGCAGAGCAAAGGAUUAUAUGUUAAUAAUAAAGUGACGUCUACAAGGCCUUUGCUGUGAAGAUUUUUGAGAGUAUGAGGUAAACCUACAAUACCUACAAAUUCUCCUUUUUAGUCAUUAAUAAUCACAGAUUCUAGGACAUCUACAAUGGAAAUGAGCUUUUUAAGGGAUCUUAAGUACCAUCAUCUACAAAGAUCUACAAAGAGUUCAUAAAAUAUAUGCUGUGAAAAAGAGUGUAAAGUAAAAUACAUUUGGUAUUCUGAAUUAAACUCUUGUUUAGAAACUCCUUCAUCAUUGAGAUCUGUGCUUUUUUCUAUGUGAGUGUAAGAAUAUGCCUAUAGUGCCGUAACCUUUGGUUAUACACCAAGAGGAUAGGUGGAAGGGAAUUUGUCUCCUCUAACAUUAAAUAUCAAAUAUAGGACUAAUGUACUGGAACAAAUCCAGAGGAGGGUGACCAAGAUGGAAUUCCUACUGGAAUAUACAGCAUAAAAGGUGAGGCUGAGCGUCCUGGGUCCUAGUCAUCACUUAUCUUAUACCACUAGUUAAUGCAGCUAUGGGAACAUGCAGGGACGACAGCCACAACCUUCUCAGAGCUGCACAGGAAAAGGUUUAAGAUAACAGAUGCAGGAAAUUGCUAAGAUAUCAGUUUUUUUUUUUUUUUUUUUCUCCUUGAAGGUGGUCAAACAGUGGAAUAGAGAUCCAAUGAGGCUGUGAAAUGUCCAUCUUUAGAGAUAUCCAAAACUUGAUCAGAUGAGACUAUUUAAGUUCAGUGAUGACUCUGCUUUGAUUGAGGAGUUGAACCUAUGAUCUCCAUAUAACUUUUCAAAGCCAAAUUAUGAUUGCAUGAUUUAUCACAAUAGAAAGAUAGCUUUAUUGGCUCCCUCUGUAAAGUGUAUUCCACCAUUCUAAAGGUAUCUCAUUUUGUUGUGUGUAAUGGUCCUGACUUGUCUGUUUCUUUCUCUGUUGACUAUAGGAGUACUCUAGGAAGUACCUUAGCAUAGUAGAUGUAUAAACUCAAUUGAGAUAAAAUAUAUUCCUAGUCAUCCAAGUCUCAGUUGCCAGUGCAUAGGAAUUUUGAGCUUAUUGAGACACUCUGAGUAUCUAAGCCAUCUCCAGAUGCUGGAAAAUAUGACACAGGGCUUCUCAAGUGACACUUGGCACUUAAUUGUGGGCAGUGAAGACAAGCUCAUGUUUUUAGAUGGAAUAAAUCCAGGUCCAGGUGUCUUCCCAGUAAGAAUGUAAAGAAAAAAAUUCAGCUCUACCUAUUUUUCAGUGGCAAUUUGGACUUCUGCUUUGGGCAGGCAAUAUUCUAAGCAGUGAAUAAAGGCAGACAUUAAUAUAUUGUUAGGUACAUUAUACAAUGGUAGUGCUCUGCAGCUCCCAUUGUGAUAAGUGUAAUUGAAUUUUUCCAGGAAUUGAGUUAUUAUUGCUAUGUCCUCUAAUUAAAAAAGUGUUUCUAUUGUAAAAAAAGAAAAGAAAAAAAAAAAAGGAAAACUGAAAACUCUUUUUUUUUAGAUGGAAUACUUUCAGAGGUUUAUUUUGGAAAUGUGAAGGUUUUAAAGUUCUUGACAAAAAUUUCCUGUUUUGCACAGAAGGUGCAUGCCUCUUCUGAUAAAAUACAUGUGACUCCAUAAUUCUCAGCUUAGUAAUGAUAGGAGAGAAAUGCUUUGAACACACCAAAGGAGGGAUCUCUGUAAUGAAACCAAUUCAUUUUUUUGGCAUAGAAAUCUUUGUAAUUUACAAAAUGCUCUAGAAAGGCCAAAGAUUCAGAGAAACGUAAAUACUCAAGGUUUAAAUUUGAAAGUCACAAUGUGCUUGAAGGAGAAAUAGAACAUUUGCUGGUGCUUCUAGACCUGUUGCAGGUAAGAAUAAGGUGAUGGGUCACUAAUUUUGCUGACACUGUGCUGAGGUUAGGACUUCAACAAAUGUUUUUGAUUAUCUCACUUGGUUAGAGGGUGUGAGCAAAAAAACACAACCAAAACAGCAUUUCUAAUCAAGAGAGAAGUGAUCGUGGUACUCUUACACCAUUUCAAGGUUGUCUUCAUUUGUUCACAUUGCUGUUACCAUGAUAUGAUGGUAUCUUGAAUGUGUGAAGUAGUGUUGGGUCAGGUUUGUUGACACUGGUGACAAAACCAGGGAAGGGGCAAACUGGGAUGCUGUGGCUAUGAACAUCUUAGUUGUCUUUUCCAACCUUAAUGAUUUUACAAUUUUGUGAUACACUGUAAUCAUCCCCUUUCUAUAGCUGAGUAAACUGAGGCACAAUGAGGAGAUGCUAACCAAAGAGCUUUACAAAGACACGGCCUACAAGAGAAGUGAGUUCUCCUGAUUCCUCAGCAUUUGCCUUUUAAUCACCAGACCAUGAAUCCUGUUUGCUUUGUUUUCUUGGGUUUUGUGCAUGUUUGUUUUCCUCUUUCAUGUUCCUAAUGGUGCUGGUCCAUAGCAGGCAGUGGACAGCUGACAGAUUACAGGAGGUGCCUGGCUGAAAUGGGAGGCAGGAUGCUUCACCAGCUCUGGGGCUAUUUAACAUUUUCCUACCCUGUGGAUCUGGGUCCCUCCCACUCGUGCUCAUAUAACAUCCCCGGGGCAAGGACAGCAAUCACCUAAAUGGAAAAAGGAAACAUUUCCUGUGCCUUUAACUACUUUUAGUGCAAUUUGGCAGCUUCAAAGAAAGCAACGUGCUUAGUUAAGAGUCAGCCAGCACUUCAUAAGUAUCUAGAAACCCGUGAUUUCCAUGCACAAAUCCAUUAGAAGAAGCUGCACUGUAGGAGCUAGGAAAUAUUUCCUGACCUCCACAAGGUACAAAAUAUCCAAAAGAAAGUGGUUUUAAACAGAACACCUGGGGUUGGUUUUUACCCUCACUUCACAGAACUUUAUAUUAGGUUCCUUCUGCUUCAUUUGUUAUAACGUAAGUGCACAGGCACCAGUGAAUCAUCUUCACUUUCAUACCUCUCUGUUCUUCCACAGAAAGCUCCUGUUAGCAGAUCAGAGAAAAAGAGACAGAGCAGGACAAGGCCACCAGCACGAAUGCUGGAGGAGGCUCUUGCCCUUUCUCUUUACCUCACAGGUUCUGCAAAACUGUUAAACCACAGUCCUGACUAGUUUACAGGCAGGGAGGAUUGGCCUAAGCCAGUGAGGUAAAGCUUUACUGCAACUGCCUAAAGUGUGUCUGUUGGCACUCCUAUUUAAUUGUUGCAUUUUCCUCCUUUCUUUUUCCAUCAGCAUAUCCAGAUCUUAUUUUUGGCGUUAUGGUAUCAGAAAAGAAAACAAUUCUGUGUGCAUAGCAAAAUGGCUUUGAUAACACUGAGAGAUGCUUUAAAACCUUGUGUAAGAGUAAUUUCCUGAUUUGAUGUCAAAUGCAGUUGUGUAUCUACAACUGAACUUUAGUGCAGAUGUGAUUUCAACCUCCACUGAAAUGACUUAGAAAUGUUCUUGGGUGCAAAAAGCUAAAAUGCCUUAAGAGUGGUACUUAAAUACACCAGCCCCAGGAAGAGCCUCAGUAUACCUUAAAUAACCCAGUAGGUCUUUCAGGGCAGCAGACAAUAACUGAUUAUUACUGGUGCUAUCCUGGUGUCUCCUAUGGACCAAACUAGUAGACAAAACUCCACUGUACUCAGUGUUGUACAAAACCAGCUUGGACACAGGUCCUGCUGCAAAAAGCUGAGAACAGAAGCUGAUUUGUGUCCUGGCCAAAUAAAUGGCCAUUCCUUGGAGAUCAGGGCACCACUGCCAUGUAUCACUCAUCCCUAUGUCCAGGCACAGAUCACAAACAGAAAAACUCCUUCAGAGCUCCUCUGCACAUUAAUUUCUUGAAUGUAGGCAGUGAGAUACAGAUCCAUGACCAGGACAAUAAGUAAUGGCUUCAAGCUAUUGCAGGGGAGGUUCAGGUUGAAUGCUAGAAAAAACUUCUUCAUAGAGAAGGUUGUGAAGCAUUCUAACAGGCUGCCUGGAGAGAUGGUAGGGUCACUGUCCCUGGAGGUAUUCAUGAAAAGGAAAGGCACAGAGAGACAUGAUUAGUGGGAAUGGUAGUGGUGGGUUGGUGGUUGGACAGGUAUAUCCUAGUGGUCUUUUCUACAACCUUAGUGAUUCUACAUUUCCAUGACCAUAUACCCUCUUCAGGACAUCAAGAAUAUUUCAUCAUGCUUAUUUGUGGGGCUAUUUUCUCUCAGCUUUAGGGAAAUGUAGCUGAUGCUGCAAGAUAAAAAAUAAUAAUAAAUGGAUACAGACCAGAGAGCACCUGAGAUGUCUGUAUUAUCUC